rnacentral:rRNA from 1 species
AGCGAACGCUGGCGGCAGGCUUAACACAUGCAAGUCGAACGGGCAUAGCAAUAUGUCAGUGGCAGACGGGUGAGUAACGCGUGGGAACGUACCUUUUGGUUCGGAACAACACAGGGAAACUUGUGCUAAUACCGGAUAAGCCCUUACGGGGAAAGAUUUAUCGCCGAAAGAUCGGCCCGCGUCUGAUUAGCUAGUUGGUAGGGUAAUGGCCUACCAAGGCGACGAUCAGUAGCUGGUCUGAGAGAAUGAUCAGCCACAUUGGGACUGAGACACGGCCCAAACUCCUACGGGAGGCAGCAGUGGGGAAUAUUGGACAAUGGGCGAAAGCCUGAUCCAGCCAUGCCGCGUGAGUGAUGAAGGCCCUAGGGUUGUAAAGCUCUUUUGUGCGGGAAGAUAAUGACGGUACCGCAAGAAUAAGCCCCGGCUAACUUCGUG